UACGAAGGGGGCUAGCGUUGUUCGGAUUUACUGGGCGUAAAGCGCACGUAGGCGGAUCGUCAAGUCGGGGGUGAAAUCCUGGAGCUCAACUCCAGAACUGCCUUCGAUACUGGCGAUCUUGAGUCCGGAAGAGGUGAGUGGAACUCCUAGUGUAGAGGUGGAAUUCGUAGAUAUUAGGAAGAACACCAGUGGCGGGGGCGGCUCACUGGUCCGGUACUGACGCUGAGGUGCGAAAGCGUGGGGAGCAAACAGG
rnacentral:rRNA from 1 species